AGAAUCAACGCUGGCGGCGUGCCUAACACAUGCAAGUCGAACGAGAAAGUGGAGCAAUCCAUGAGUACAGUGGCGUACGGGUGAGUAACACGUGACUAACCUACCCUCGAGUGGGGAAUAACCUCGGGAAACCGGGGCUAAUACCGCAUAACAUCUUCGGAUCAAAUGCGUAAGCAGCUUGAGGAGGGGGUCGCGGCCGAUUAGCUAGUUGGCGGGUAAUGGCCCACAAGGCAAUGAUCGGUA
rnacentral:rRNA from 1 species